GAGCUCACUUUGGUAGCACAUACACUAAAACUGUACAGAGAAGAUUAAUGUGGCCCCUGUACAAGGAUGACAUGCAAAUUGGUGAGGCAUUCCAUAUUUUC
rnacentral:snRNA from 1 species